UUCACUCUAGCGAGACUGCCGGUGACAAACCGGAGGAAGGUGGGGAUGACGUCAAAUCAUCAUGCCCCUUAUGACCUGGGCUACACACGUGCUACAAUGGGAAGUACAACGAGUUGCGAAGUCGCGAGGCUAAGCUAAUCUCUUAAAGCUUCUCUCAGUUCGGAUUGCAGGCUGCAACUCGCCUGCAUGAAGCCGGAAUCGCUAGUAAUCGCGGAUCAGCACGCCGCGGUGAAUACGUUCCCGGGCCUUGUACACACCGCCCGUCACACCACGAGAGUUUGUAACACCCGAAGUCGGUGAGGUAACCUUUUGGAGCCAGCCGCCUAAGGUGGGAUAGAUGAUUGGGGUGAAGUCGUAACAAGGUAACCGUAAAUA
rnacentral:rRNA from 1 species